GGAACAUCCCUCCAUGGCUUCUGCAUCAGUUCCUGCUUCCUGACUUGCUUGAGUUCCAGUCCUGACUUCCUUUGGUGAUGAACAGCAAUGUGGAAAUGGCCAUAUCUUCUAAUAGUGCCACUUCCUGGGCUGAGCAUAUGCAAACCAUCACAGGUAACAUCUGGGUUUCUGGCUGAGGAGGUGCCAUUCUUCUAGGAAUGCCUAAGGAGCCCCCUGGAUUCCAGGAAGAGCAAAGCUCCUUGGAAAGACUGCCCACUCUAUAGAGGAAGGGAGUUAUCUCUGACGACAAAGAGUCUAUCUCCAAGAAGAAGUGAUUAUCUUGUAAGAAGCAGACCUAUCUGUGUUAUGUGCAUUUAAAGCUACCGCCUCAGCCCAGGAACACUGCCUCACUAUUAGCCACUCCUGGCUCCCUUUUGUUCCACCUUUGCUCUGGGAGGUGACCUAGCAAUGUUUGCUCCUCUACAAUUUGCCUUCUAGGCACAAUUGCUGGGUGUUAUUGUCUCCUACCUGGAAAAGUGUGCCCUUAACAUUUAUUGUCUCCAUCUUUCCACUUGCUCUAAACUUCAGUAGCUAAAGCCACCUAGCCCCUUCUAAACAUCCUUGGCCAGCAGCCUGCGCUGGAGGCCAUAGGCCCCAACCCCCAGCCCAUACCUCACAUGGUUGCUGCCUUCUUCUUCCUCUAAAGCAUGGCAGAAAGACCCCCUUUCUCUUUCCUUGCAGCUCCCUUUCCUCCUGGGACCCAGAAGACCCACCUGUACCUUCUGCCCAGCAAUUGGCCCCUGGCUUUCUUUACUGACAAAUCAAGAACCAGUUGGGGAACAGGACUUUAACAUCAGAACUGCCCCCUUCACCUAGCCUUUUCAUAUGUAGGUAACCACGGUGUUGGGCCACUAUGCAGAGUCAGAGUGGGAGAAUGGUCAACCAGAUCACACCCGGACCAGAAGACUUAACCAUAUGUCUCUCCCGCUCUCUGCCUCAGAUCUGCUUCUGUUUAGACCAAAGCUUGUGUCAGUACCCUGGAGCCAGAAGACAGUACCAGACCCUUUGUUCUUCCCUUCUGUCUUCGCUUUUACCAAUACGUGUCUCUAAACUCUAUGCUAGGACCCCAAAAAUUGCUCUGAGGGACUCACCAAAUUUGGUUCUCUUCCUAACACAGCCACAUUGAAUAAAUCUACUUUUUGUGAUUAAUUUGUCUCUUUAAUUAGCCUAGUGAAGGUGGGUGGCUGAUCAUGGUUUUAUGAGGAUGUUAGGACCCUGGAUGACCCCAAAGACUCUGGUAACAGAUCUAUUUUCAUAUUGUUGAGAACUUUCACAUUGACUUCCAUAGCGGCUAGACUAAUUUACAUUCCCACCAGCAGCGUGUGAGGUCUGGCUUCUCUCUGUAUCUUCCUGCCUCUGCUCCCUAAGUGCUGGGUUACUGGCAUGCACAACCACACCUAGCUGCUGUGUAGUUUUAAUUUGCAUAUCUCUGAUGGGUAGUGAUGUGAAACAUCUUUUUAUAUGUUUCUUGGCCAUUGGUACAGCAUCUUCUGAGAACUGUCUGCUUUUCUAGUUUAUUAGCUGAUUAUAUUGUUUGAUUUCUUGGUAUAUGGUUUCUUGAGUUCUAUAUUCUAGACAUUAAUUCUGUUAUAUAUGUACCUCCCAAAGGUUCCCCUCCUGUUCUAUACUCUUGUCUCUUUGUCUCCUUUGCUUUGUAGAAACUUGAAAAUUUCAUGCUAGUCCAUCUGUU